rnacentral:rRNA from 1 species
UAGGGAAUCUUCCACAAUGGACGCAAGUCUGAUGGAGCAACGCCGCGUGAGUGAAGAAGGUUUUCGGACCGUAAAGCUCUGUUGUUGGUGAAGAAGGAUAGAGGUAGUAACUGGCCUUUAUUUGACGGUAAUCAACCAGAAAGUCACGGCUAACUACGUGCCAGCAGCCGCGGUAAAUCGUAGGUGGCAAGCGUUGUCCGGAUUUAUUGGGCGUAAAGCGAGCGCAGGCGGAAGAAUAAGUCUGAUGUGAAAGCCCUCGGCUUAACCGAGGAAUUGCAUCGGAAACUGUUUUCUUGAGUGCAGAAGAGGAGAGUAGAACUCCAUGUGUAGCGGUGGAAUGCGUAGAUAUAUGGAAGAAUACCAGUGGCGAAGGCGGCUCUCUGGUCUGCAACUGACGCUGAGGCUCGAAAGCAUGGGUAGCGAACAGGAUUAGAUACCCUUGGUAGUCCAUGCCGUAAACGAUGAGUGCUAAGUGUUGGGAGGCUUCCGCCUCUCAGUGCUGCAGCUAACGCAUUAAGCACUUCGCCUGGGGGAGUACGACCGCAAGGUUGAAAC